rnacentral:rRNA from 1 species
GAUGAACGCUGGCGGCGUGCUUAACACAUGCAAGUCGAACGAAGCACCAUGGACAGAAUUUUUCGGAAGGACGACUAUGGCGACUUAGUGGCGGACGGGUGAGUAACGCGUGGGUAACCUGCCCUGUACUGGGGGACAACAGUUGGAAACGACUGCUAAUACCGCAUAAGCGCACAGCAUCGCAUGAUGCAGUGUGAAAAACUCCGGUGGUACAGGAUGGACCCGCGUCUGAUUAGCUAGUUGGUGAGGUAACGGCUUACCAAGGCAACGAUCAGUAGCCGACUUGAGAGAGUGAUCGGCCACAUUGGGACUGAGACAGGCCCAAACUCCUACGGGGAGGCAGCAGUGGGGAAUAGUUGCACAAUGGAGGAACUCUGAUGCAGCGACGCCGCGUGAGUGAAGAAGUAG